rnacentral:rRNA from 1 species
GAUCAUGGCUCAGGAUGAACGCUGGCGGCGUGCUUAACACAUGCAAGUCGAACGAGGUUAAGACUCGGUUUAAACCGAGUGGCGGACGGGUGAGUAACGCGUGGGUAACCUGCCGUAUGCAGGGGGACAACAGUUAGAAAUGACUGCUAAUACCGCAUAAGCUUACAGUAUCGCAUGAUACAGUGAGAAAAGAUUUAUCGGCAUACGAUGGACCCGCGUCUGAUUAGCUAGUUGGUGAGGUAACGGCCCACCAAGGCGACGAUCAGUAGCCGACCUGAGAGGGUGACCGGCCACAUUGGGACUGAGACACGGCCCAAACUCCUACGGGAGGCAGCAGUGGGGAAUAUUGCACAAUGGGCGCAAGCCUGAUGCAGCCGACGCCGCGUGAGUGAUGAAGUAUUUCGGUACGUAAAGCUCUAUCAGCAGGGAAGAUAAUGACGGUACCUGACUAAGAAGCCCCGGCUAACUACGUGCCAGCAGCUGC